CAGAGCUAAUGCCCCCUCUGUGGGGCAGGGAUGUUUGAUCUGAAAAAACCUUGUCUUUCACAGUCAAAGAUGACGUGAAAUGAAUAGUCUGUCAAAAUUCAGGUGGGCCAGUGCUUGGUUACUGCUUAUGUCAAUCCAGCCAUUCUGACAUCCACCACCUGUAAAGAGAGUCGCUGAAACGGAACAAUCUAGCAUCGUGCCAGCGACCAAGAUUCUCCGGAAACACUCAGGGUAAUUAGCUACGAAUUCUUUAAAUACUCUUACAUGAAAGGCAGCUGGUUUGUUCGCUGAUAUGGGAUCCAAGAAGUGGGCAGUAGCGGCUAAAUAAUUACUUCAGCAUUCCAAAGAGAGGGAUGCCAGGCCACAAAUAGAGUUCCAAGCGAAGAUGUGCUUGCGUAGGACUUUGGACCCUCCCGUUUACAAAGCAAUCAUUUCUGCCAUUUGUGAGGAUUGUUGAACAGAUUUUAUGUUAAACACACAUGCUCCCAGUAUGUAAUUACAAUUGAGAAUGAAUACGCCGAACUUUAGCGCUGAAGCAUCUUAGCAGUUCUUCCAGCGCCCCCAACUGCUUGAAGACAGAACCUGAAUCAGUCUGUGGACAAGGGCAGCCCAUAACAUGGCUGCCACAGGGAAGACUUUCAAAAAAUCUCAGCAAGGUCUUCUGCCCUUGCAAAAUGGUAUUAAUCUUUGCCAAUGUCCAGGACACUGUGUUCCAUAAGGGAGAAAAAAGCCCUAAAGGCUGAGGAGUGUGUCUAGUAGGUCUCAUUUUACUUACAGGAAAAGAAGUCACUGAGAGGUAUUUUGAAUUAUUUGAAACACACAGCUUAUGACCACCAGAGCUGGGAAUACGAUCCAGGUGUCUCAGUCUGACGGUCUUUCACCAUAACACCACUUAGUAUUUCUCAGGAAAAAUUGUGAUGUUCUAUUAGUCCACUGAUAUGAACAACAGUAAUAAUAUGUAACUCUCCUAUAAUGCUUCACAAUAUGCAAACCCCUCCACUGGUAUAAAAGCUCCAUAAAG
rnacentral:lncRNA from 10 species